CGGGGCGUGGCGCAGCCUGGUAGCGCACCUGCUUUGGGAGCAGGGGGCCGCAGGUUCAAAUCCUGCCGCCCCGACCA
rnacentral:tRNA from 3 species